rnacentral:rRNA from 1 species
GCGGCAUGCUUUACACAUGCAAGUCGAACGGCAGCAUGACCUAGCUUGCUAGGUUGAUGGCGAGUGGCGAACGGGUGAGUAAUGCACCGGAACGUACCCAGUAAUGGGGGAUAACGCACCGAAAGGUGUGCUAAUACCGCAUACGCCCUGAGGGGGAAAGCGGGGGAUCGUAAGACCUCGCGUUAUUGGAGCGGCCGAUGCCGGAUUAGCUAGUUGGUGGGGUAAAGGCCUACCAAGGCGACGAUCCGUAGCUGGUCUGAGAGGACGACCAGCCACACUGGGACUGAGACACGGCCCAGACUCCUACGGGAGGCAGCAGUGGGGAAUUUUGGACAAUGGGCGCAAGCCUGAUCCAGCCAUGCCGCGUGAGUGAAGAAGGCCUUCGGGUUGUAAAGCUCUUUCGCAAGGAAAGAAAACUUAGCUACUAAUACUAGCUGAGGAUGACGGUACCUUGAUAAGAAGCACCGGCUAACUACGUGCCAGCAGCCGCGGUAAUACGUAGGGUGCGAGCGUUAAUCGGAAUUACUGGGCGUAAAGCGUGCGCAGGCGGUUCGAUAAGUCUGAUGUGAAAUCCCCGGGCUCAACCUGGGAACUGCGUUGGAAACUGUC